UACGGAGGGAGCUAGCGUUGCUCGUAAUUACUGGGCGUAAAGCGCGCGUAGGCGGCGACACAAGUCAGAGGUGAAAGCCCGGGGCUCAACCCCGGAACUGCCUUUGAAACUAGGUUGCUAGAAUCUUGGAGAGGUCAGUGGAAUUCCGAGUGUAGAGGUGAAAUUCGUAGAUAUUCGGAAGAACACCAGUGGCGAAGGCGACUGACUGGACAAGUAUUGACGCUGAGGUGCGAAAGCGUGGGGAGCAAACAGG
rnacentral:rRNA from 1 species